AAGAGAUAGCUCAGCGGUUAAGAGCACUGACUGUUCUUCCAGAAGACCUGGGUUCAAUUCCCAGCACUCUUG
rfam:Cricetulus griseus cell line CHO-K1, whole genome shotgun sequence.